ACCUCUCUGAUGCAUUGGUAAACAUCCAGCAGACAGAGACUCAUAAGAUAGCCAAUUCUUUAUUCUUUAUUCAAGUUUACACACAGCAGAAGGUAAGAGAAGUCCAUGAUUCUUGUGAAAAAGUUGGUUUGCACAUCUGGUCCCUUCUCUAGGCAUGAUUAAAGCUACAAUGAAGGAGUGAGAAAAAGAAAAAGAAAAAGAUUUUUUCUUUUCCCCUCACUUUUCUACACCAUAAAGCUUUGUUAGAGGUGGAGAGUGUUGGCCCUUAAUCCUGCCCCAGUUUGCAUCAUCAUUUGCUGCCUCUUUUCUUUUCAUUCGCCCUCUCUUUUUACUGGGUAUCUGUCUGUCGGUUCAAUUUUAAACGGUUGAAAUAAACACACAGUAUUAGGUAUAAUUUCUUGAUUCACCACAUCUAUUGAGUCUCUAUUUUGUCCACUUGUUACUGUAGAACAGGGGAGAACCUGUGAGAUUACGAAGAAAAUUUUUGACACUAUCCUAUCUAUAAGAUGACAAAGUUCAUCAGAAUUAUCAAAAUUGAGUCUGAGUGUUCUAAUUUCUAUAACAAUUAAAGGGUUGCAACUGUAACUUCAGCAUUUGGGUUCAUGGGUUAAGAUCUCAGCACAAGUUACAAGAAAACAGUGGUGGGGAGAGACCAAAACAAGAUCAAACAGAGUAACAUCAACUUACGAGAUUCAUGCACUGAGGAGAAAACUAUUCAUUUUUGUACUAUAGCCAUUAGUUUUAUCAGAUCAUAGCCUCUAAGCAGAUAGAAUCACAAAGCUAAGUAUUUUCCUAGAAAAGAAAUUUUUCUAGCAUUAACUAUUAGCCAUGAAAGGAAAUUAAGAAAAUUCUUCAAGUAAUUUACCAAAAUGGGUAGAAGGAACUAAUGAAUUUCUGCAAUUAUUCUUCAAGAUAAUUAAGAAUAUAUAACUGUUCAGCAUACCUUCUGUUGCAGAAGUUCCAGUAACCACUGCCACUUUAUCAGAGCAGUUGGAGUUGGAGAGUCGGAG
rnacentral:lncRNA from 1 species